rnacentral:rRNA from 1 species
CCUACGGGAGGCAGCAGUGGGGAAUAUUGCACAAUGGAGGGAACUCUGAUGCAGCGACGCCGCGUGAGUGAAGAAGUAAUUCGUUAUGUAAAGCUCUAUCAGCAGGGAAGAAAGUGACGGUACCUGAAAAAGAAGCCCCGGCUAACUACGUGCCAGCAGCCGCGGUAAUACGUAGGGGGCAAGCGUUAUCCGGAUUUACUGGGUGUAAAGGGAGCGUAGACGGAGGAGCAAGUCUGAUGUGAAAAUCCGGGGCCCAACCCCGGAACUGCAUUGGAAACUGUUUAUCUAGAGUGUCGGAGAGGCAA